AUACGGAGGGUGCAAGCGUUACUCGGAAUCACUGGGCGUAAAGCGCGCGCAGGCGGCUUGAUAAGUUGGAUGUGAAAGCCUACGGCUCAACCGUAGAACUGCAUCCAAAACUGUCAGGCUAGAGUGUGGGAGAGGAAGAUGGAAUUAGUUGUGUAGGGGUAAAAUCCGUAGAGAUAACUAGGAAUACCGAAAGCGAAGGCAAUCUUCUGGAACACUACUGACGCUGAGGCGCGAAGGCGUGGGGAGCAAACAGGAUUAGAUACCCGGGUAGUCC
rnacentral:rRNA from 1 species